AGAGUUGAUUCCAGGGUCACGAUGAGGUAAAAGAGACAUAGAGAGAGAAUCAAUUUCAGAUUUGAGAGAGAGAAAAUCGAUUUCAAAUUUGAGAGAUAGAGACAGACUGUUGAAUCGAAGAACAUUAUGAAGUAAUCAACUGUGAACCCGUAAUUGUUUACUUGGAUUUAAUCGAAGUUAGAGUGUCAAUCGAAGAAAGAGGCUCUCUCUGUUUCUCAAAUCUCUCUCAGUCUCUUUCUUUUCGAAAUCUCUAAUUUUUUUUUCUUUAGAACCCUAACUAAAUCGAUUGGGGAAAGAACAAUUAUGUCGGGUCGGGUUUAUGAGAUUGGGUCGGGUUUUAUUAAUCAUGGUGUAGGUUUAU
rnacentral:lncRNA from 1 species